UGAUGAAGUACACAACCACUCAGAUCGGAAACUUGGGCAUCCUGCUGGACUCAUCCUCAGCCCUGAACUGUGCCCUCUGUGCAUCUGGCAACAUUCUCACGUUCCCUUGGUGAAUUUCUAUUAAUAUUUUGGGCAUCUCAAGAUUACCUACUUGGAUAAGUCUUUUCCCAGCUUCCCUUGGCCUUGGAAGAAAGCUGUUUUCCUGCAAGUGAACUUAAUUUACUGUUUUCUGAGUAAUUUGGGAGGAUAUUAGACAGAUAGUUGUGAUCACUUCUCAGAGAACUCCUUGCCCACUGGAGAAGGGUGAGUCGUGGUGGGCCCUGGGGACUGACCAUGCUUUGCCGCUGCUGCUGGAGUUGGCUGACAAGGUCUCUUCUUGGAUCUGGAGCCUACCUUGACUCAAGACAGGUUCCUCCAACCACAAGCCCGAGGAUGCCCUUCUCCUGCUCUCUAAAAGUGCUGGUGACACUUUGUCCAUGUUGAAUGGUCUUCUUGUCCUAUGACUCCCUUUAUUUGACACAUUCUCAGCUUCUGUUUCUGACUAGGAGCUGUAAACUUAUAAUCCCUCUUUUUGGUUAAGAGGAGAAUCACUGGAACCCAGCUGAUGGGAUCACAGGGCUAAGGAGUCCAGAGUUAUUUGAAUCCCUGUGUAGUCCAGCUAACCUGUUCCAUGAUGAGAGCUGCCUGCCUAGUCCAGGGAGCCACCCCAAAGACAAAAGCCUUCCUUAAUCCCAGAGAGGGUGUGUGAGUAAGCAGCCACCCACUGGCAUUGCCAGAAGAAACGAUGGAUGGUGGGUGAGGAGCUCCGUGUUCCCACAAUGGACAAAAUGCUGUUAUUAUGGCCAGUGUGUGCUAUAUCACAUUGCCAAACCCAGUGUUUCAUUAAAGGGGUGUUGGGGGACAGGGUGCCAGGGAUGGUGCUCAUGUAUUGAUAAAUCAAAGUGCUUCUUGCCUUUUCUAAUCUUUUGCAUCUCCUGUUCUGUUUUCCUACCAUUUAAAUCUCUAGUGUACCCUAAUAUGACAGUGUGGUUAAAUAAAUGUGGC
rnacentral:lncRNA from 1 species